rnacentral:tRNA from 1 species
GGCCUCUUGGUCUAGUGGUAUGAUUCACGCUUUGGGUUAGUUCAAUUUGUGUGAGGUCUCCGGUUCGAUCCCGGAAGGGGCCC